GACGAACGCUGGCGGCGUGCUUAACACAUGCAAGUCGAACGGAAAGGCCCUGCUUUUGUGGGGUGCCCGAGUGGCGAACGGGUGAGUAACACGUGAGUAACCUGCCCUUGACUUUGGGAUAACUUCAGGAAACUGGGGCUAAUACCGGAUAGGAGCUCCUGCUGCAUGGUGGGGGUUGGAAAGUUUCGGCGGUUGGGGAUGGACUCGCGGCUUAUCAGCUUGUUGGUGGGGUAGUGGCUUACCAAGGCUUUGACGGGUAGCCGGCCUGAGAGGGUGACCGGCCACAUUGGGACUGAGAUACGGCCCAGACUCCUACGGGAGGCAGCAGUGGGGAAUAUUGCACAAUGGGCGGAAGCCUGAUGCAGCAACGCCGCGUGCGGGAUGACGGCCUUCGGGUUGUAAACCGCUUUCGCCUGUGACGAAGCGUGAGUGACGGUAAUGGGUAAAGAAGCACCGGCUAACUACGUGCCAGCAGCCGCGGUGAUACGUAGGGUGCGAGCGUUGUCCGGAUUUAUUGGGCGUAAAGGGCUCGUAGGUGGUUGAUCGCGUCGGAAGUGUAAUCUUGGGGCUUAACCCUGAGCGUGCUUUCGAUACGGGUUGACUUGAGGAAGGUAGGGGAGAAUGGAAUUCCUGGUGGAGCGGUGGAAUGCGCAGAUAUCAGGAGGAACACCAGUGGCGAAGGCGGUUCUCUGGGCCUUUCCUGACGCUGAGGAGCGAAAGCGUGGGGAGCGAACAGGCUUAGAUACCCUGGUAGUCCACGCUGUAAACGGUGGGUACUAGGUGUGGGGUCCAUUCCACGGGUUCCGUGCCGUAGCUAACGCUUUAAGUACCCCGCCUGGGGAGUACGGCCGCAAGGCUAAAACUCAAAGGAAUUGACGGGGCCCCGCACAAGCGGCGGAGCAUGCGGAUUAAUUCGAUGCAACGCGUAGAACCUUACCUGGGUUUGACAUGGAUCGGGAGUGCUCAGAGAUGGGUGUGCCUCUUUUGGGGUCGGUUCACAGGUGGUGCAUGGCUGUCGUCAGUUCGUGUCGUGAGAUGUUGGGUUAAGUCCCGCAACGAGCGCAACCCUUGUUCACUGUCGCCAGCACGUUAUGGUGGGGACUCAGUGGAGACCGCCGGGGUCAACUCGGAGGAAGGUGGGGAUGACGUCAAGUCAUCAUGCCCCUUAUGUCCAGGGCUUCACGCAUGCUACAAUGGCUGGUACAGAGAGUGGCGAGCCUGUGAGGGUGAGCGAAUCUCGAAAAGCCGGUCUCAGUUCGGAUUGGGGUCUGCAACUCGACCUCAUGAAGUCGGAGUCGCUAGUAAUCGCAGAUCAGCAACGCUGCGGUGAAUACGUUCCCGGG
rnacentral:rRNA from 1 species